CAAGUCGGUGAAGCUUUAGGCCUUUACAAACCUCCAUCAGAGCGUUGGACGCCUAAGAUUCUUCUUUGGAAUCAUUUUGAAGUUUGUGUUUUAAGAACAGUAUCCCUAAGGGACUGGAGUUCCAUGGAGAAUACUCUGGAUCACUCUGGCAUCAGAAUUAGAUACGAAGCUCUGGAAUCGGACACACCACCCAGUCACUUCACCUCUCUGAGCCCUGGGCUUUCACUGAUACCUUAAGAAGAACAACUCCUACUGGAAAUUGCUAGUUCAUGUAAAGAAUAUAGCUUAUUAUAAGCACCAAAAAUGCUUACAUAUCAAAUCAACAUUAAUUAGAGGAGCAGCAUCCACAAAUACAGCCACUGUAAUUUCUCAGCAUAAAGUACAAAGCCUAGAAAACCUAAGCAGUAUGUCACCAAAGAUUUCUAUGAAGCAGCAGAAAAAAUUUGAACUAUCUUAGAUUAAAAUAUAAGGCUUACUUUGGUUUAUGAUUCAUAAUUCAGUCCCAUAAUUGGUUCAUUAGUAAACUAUAUUCACAUACUAUUAUUUAAUCUUUGUAAAAAUGGCUGAUAAUAUGUCUAUUUUUACAUUUAAUUUUACAGAUGAGAAAACUAAAAUAAUAACCUUCCCAAGCACUAAUCUGUGGAGCGGGUAUUGAAAAUGAUCUGAAGGAAGGAAGGAAUGAAGGGAGGGAGGGAGGGAGGAAAGAGAGCUAACUGGGUGGCAGUUAAGGGUUGGACUUCAGUUCAGGUCAUGAUCUCGU
rnacentral:lncRNA from 1 species